rnacentral:rRNA from 1 species
GAUGAACGCUGGCGGCGUGCUUAACACAUGCAAGUCGAACGGAAAGGCCCAAGCUUGCUUGGGUACUCGAGUGGCGAACGGGUGAGUAACACGUGGGUGAUCUGCCCUGCACUUCGGGAUAAGCCUGGGAAACUGGGUCUAAUACCGGAUAGGACCACAUUUUGGAUGGUGUGGUGGAAAGUUUUUCGGUGUGGGAUGAGCUCGCGGCCUAUCAGCUUGUUGGUGGGGUAAUGGCCUACCAAGGCGUCGACGGGUAGCCGGCCUGAGAGGGUGUACGGCCACAUUGGGACUGAGAUACGGCCCAGACUCCUACGGGAGGCAGCAGUGGGGAAUAUUGCACAAUGGGCGCAAGCCUGAUGCAGCGACGCCGCGUGGGGGAUGACGGCCUUCGGUUUGUAAACUCCUUUCGCUAGGGACGAAGCGUUUUUGUGACGGUACCUGGAGAAGAAGCACCGGCUAACUACGU